GCAGACACAUUCCAGCCAAUCAGCAGCAGACCCUCCCUCCCAGGCCCUCCCACCUCCUGGACAGCAUCCAUUUUACAUUUAUUGUGAAGCUGCAUUCUUAGUGAGCUGUCCAGGAGGUGGGAGGGUCUGGGAGGGAGGGUCUGCUGCUGAUUGGCUGGAAUGUGUCUG
rnacentral:miRNA from 1 species